GAUAGAGAUAAGAAAGGCCAAUGCCCUUCAUAUCCACUGACAAAGCCAGAUAUAUUAAGGAGAAGCUCAGCUCAGCACUCAGCCAAGGCCCAUUCUGGCAAGAUGAAUCCCACCAGCUUCUUCCUCCUUACAAUGCUCCUCGUUCUGGUGACAGAAACAGCAGCAAGGAGACCCCGUGAAAAAUUCUCACAAGAGUCUGAAGAGAGUUCUUCUAGUGCAGCCUCUGAAGUUACUUCAUCGGGGGAAAGCGGGGGAUCAAGUUCUUCCCAGGACGACAACAGCCCAAGUGACAAGUCAGGGGGUUCCUCCUUUAAAA
rnacentral:lncRNA from 1 species